GAAAUGUAAUGUCGAAAAUAACUAUGGAGAGCCUGAAAUAUAACAUCGAGAAGAAACUCUUUUAGUUGUUUACGAGCUUCUUUGUUUAGUUUACGGUCAAAGGGCAACGGCAAGCAGCAUUUUUCCCGGGACAAUUGUAUUUGUAAUUAUACAUUAUGUGUGCCGUAAAUUCUACAUUAUUAUGUAUAGCCUAAUGGCCUGGGUAGUUCUAGUAUUAGGAUCUGAAUUCUAGUGCUUGAACUGAUACAAAGAUGUGAAGCAACGAUUUGUUUCAGGUUGCAAAAGCUUGAAAGUGGUGUUUUAUGAGCUGUCUGUGCGGUAGAACUUUUGGAGGAAUA
rnacentral:misc_RNA from 1 species